rnacentral:rRNA from 1 species
GACGAACGCUGGCGGCGUGCUUAACACAUGCAAGUCGAACGGAAAGGCCCUGCUUUUGUGGGGUGCUCGAGUGGCGAACGGGUGAGUAACACGUGAGUAACCUGCCCUUGACUUUGGGAUAACUUCAGGAAACUGGGGCUAAUACCGGAUAGGAGCUCCUGCUGCAUGGUGGGGGUUGGAAAGUUUCGGCGGUUGGGGAUGGACUCGCGGCUUAUCAGCUUGUUGGUGGGGUAGUGGCUUACCAAGGCUUUGACGGGUAGCCGGCCUGAGAGGGUGACCGGCCACAGUGGGACUGAGAUACGGCCCAGACUCCUACGGGAGGCAGGAGUGGGGAAUAUUGCACAAUGGGCGGAAGGCGGAUGCAGGAACGCCGGGUGCGGGAUGACGGCCUUCGGGGUGGAAACCGCUUUCGCCUGUGACGAAGCGUGAGGGACGGUAAUGGGUAAAGAAGCACCGGCUAACUACGU